ACUUUGGCAAUAAAAAAGAUAAUCAUGCCUAUUACGGUAUCCGACGGAUGCCAUCCGCACGGAUCUAAUCAGAUUAGCACUGUCGGAAUAAGCGAGUGCGAAGGAUUAGAUUCGUGCGAAAGGUAUCUGUCGGACCGGAAAAGCUCUGUUUCCGAGGGAUCCCAUUCUCAUGAAUCUAAUCCUUCUCAUUCGCUUGUUAUGACAGUGUGAAUCGGGUUAGAUCCGUGCGGAUGGCAUCCGUCGGAUACCGUAAUAGGCAU